GACGAACGCUGGCGGCGUGCCUAAUACAUGCAAGUCGAGCGGACGAAUCGAAAGCUUGCUUUUGAUUCGUUAGCGGCGGACGGGUGAGUAACACGUGGGCAACCUGCCCUGUAGACGGGGAUAACACCGAGAAAUCGGUGCUAAUACCGGAUAACACGAAAUGUCGCAUGACGUUUCGUUGAAAGACGGCGCAAGCUGCCGCUACAGGAUGGGCCCGCGGCGCAUUAGCUAGUUGGUGAGGUAACGGCUCACCAAGGCGACGAUACGUAGCCGACCUGAGAGGGUGAUCGGCCACACUGGGACUGAGACACGGCCCAGACUCCUACGGGAGGCAGCAGUAGGGAAUCUUCCGCAAUGGACGAAAGUCUGACGGAGCAACGCCGCGUGAGCGAAGAAGGCCUUCGGGUCGUAAAGCUCUGUUGUUAGGGAAGAACAAGUAACGCAGUAACUGGCGUUACCGCGACGGUACCUAACGAGAAAGCCACGGCUAACUACGUG
rnacentral:rRNA from 1 species